AUUGAACGCUGGCGGCAGGCUUAACACAUGCAAGUCGAGCGGAGCGAGGGUGCUUGCACCUUAGCUUAGCGGCGGACGGGUGAGUAAUGCUUAGGAAUCUGCCUAUUAGUGGGGGACAACAUUCCGAAAGGAAUGCUAAUACCGCAUACGCCCUACGGGGGAAAGCAGGGGAUCUUCGGACCUUGCGCUAAUAGAUGAGCCUAGGUCGGAUUAGCCAGUUGGUGGGGUAAAGGCCUACCAAGGCGACGAUCUGUAGCGGGUCUGAGAGGAUGAUCCGCCAAACUGGGACUGAGACACGGCCCAGACGCCGACGGGAGGCAGCAGUGGGGAAUAUUGGACAAUGGGCGGAAGCCUGAUCCAGCCAUGCCGCGUGUGUGAAGAAGGCCUUUUGGUUGUAAAGCACUACAAGCGAGGAGGAGGCUACUUAGAUUAAUACUCUGGGAUAGUGGACGUUACUCGCAGAAUAAGCACCGGCUAACUCUGUGCCAGCAGCCGCCGUAA
rnacentral:rRNA from 1 species